UUGAUCAGAUGAAAUUCCUCUUAUGAUCAAUUUGAGUUUCUAUUUCCCUUUUCCCCUUCACCUCCAUUCCCAUUCUUCCCUAAUCCAUUCAUUGACCAAUGAAUUCUCAAAUAUCAAAUGCUAGUUGGUUCAUCAAUGACCUUGUGUCAAAUGAAUCAACAUGAAGUUUGAUUGAGAUAGGUUCGUCCAAUUUUAUUUUUGUGUGUGGUGUGUUUUAGGAGCUUGGUUCUUUGUACCAUGUCUCUAACAUGCAUUAAC
rnacentral:lncRNA from 1 species